UUGUGGACAAAGUCCUAAGUUUCUCACAAUAUAGGUCCCCAACCACUGACCAAACUCCAGUCCAGGCAGCCAGCAGGCCCAGGGCUGCUUCCUUUGGCAGCUCCCAAGGUCUGGGAGGAAGAGGUCCUGCCCCAGGGGGUCUGUCAGGCCAUUCCUGCAGCUCCAUCCCACCCCACAGGGACCCCUGCCUCGCACCUGAGAGGAGCCCUCUUCCUGGAGCUGGGAUCUGAUGCUUGUUGGCACCGACAGCAGAUACCAGGCAUCAGGCCAUAGAGAAAGAUGCGGAGCCCUACGCUGACAAUCCCUCUGUGCCUCCAUUUCCUCACCUGCACAUGGCAGGAUUACACUUCCUUGCCUCCUUCGAAGUUGGAUGUGACCAUGUGACUUGUCUUGGCCAAUGAAAUGUGAACAGAAACCAUCUGUGUCACACCUGAGCAGAAGGUUUAAGAGCUAGUACUUAGGUUGUUGUGGAAGCACAUACAGAUAUGGAGUCACCAGGAAGCGAAGAGCCCCCUGCCAGCCCAUGCCAGAUAUGUAUUGUAAGUGAGCAGUAAAUAUCUGCUGUGUUAGCACGGAGGCAUGUGCUUAUUUUGGUCAUUGUGGCAAAGUCUCACCUAUCUUUACUGAACACGUUCUUUCCAAAGCUUCACUGAUAUUCCUAUGACCAUUACAAUUUGUCAUAUCUGAAAACCACUUACACUAUUAACACUUCUUAACAUCAACUCACUUAUUUUAACUUAGAUUUAUUUUAGAAGGAAAUGUUAUUACUACCAAAUGAAACACCAGUAUCAUAAGUAGAAACCAAAGGGGAAAUAAACAGAGUGAAAUAAACUGUUAUAUUAUAUCC